CCAGACUCCUACGGGAGGCAGCAGUGGGGAAUAUUGGACAAUGGGGGGAACCCUGAUCCAGCGACGCCGCGUGAGUGAAGAAGUAUUUCGGUAUGUAAAGCUCUAUCAGCAGGGAAGAAGAAAUGACGGUACCUGACUAAGAAGCCCCGGCUAACUACGUGCCAGCAGCCGCGGUAAUACGUAGGGGGCAAGCGUUAUCCGGAUUUACUGGGUGUAAAGGGAGCGUAGACGGUGCAGCAAGUCUGGAGUGAAAGGCAGGGGCCCAACCCCUGGACUGCUCUGGAAACUGUUGUACUUGAGUGCAGGAGAGGUAAGUGGAAUUCCUAGUGUAGCGGUGAAAUGCGUAGAUAUUAGGAGGAACACCAGUGGCGAAGGCGGCUUACUGGACUGUAACUGACGUUGAGGCUCGAAAGCGUGGGGAGCAAACAGGAUUAGAUACCCUUGUA
rnacentral:rRNA from 1 species